rnacentral:rRNA from 1 species
AUACGGAGGGUGCAAGCGUUAAUCGGAAUUACUGGGCGUAAAGCGCGCGUAGGCGGAUUAGUAAGUCGGAUGUGAAAGCCCUGGGCUCAACCUGGGAAUUGCAUUCGAUACUGCUUGACUAGAGUAUGGUAGAGGGAAGUGGAAUUUCCGGUGUAGCGGUGAAAUGCGUAGAUAUCGGAAGGAACACCAGUGGCGAAGGCGACUUCCUGGGCCAAUACUGACGCUGAGGUGCGAAAGCGUGGGGAGCAAACAGGAUUAGAUACCCCGGUAGUCC